AAAUGUUACAACUCACUCAUUCCCGAUAGGAUUCACUAUCUAGUGAAGAUGCCUUGUAACCAUAAAAAUGAACUGGGGGAAUUUACUGUG
rfam:Lactobacillus apodemi DSM 16634 = JCM 16172 strain DSM 16634 NODE_187, whole genome shotgun sequence.